GUCUAAGCUUCGGCUAGACAUAUACUAAAAUUGGAACGAUACAGAGAAGAUUAGCAUGACCCAUGCGCAAGGAUGACACGCAAAAAAAAAUGAAAAAAUGACCCUUAU